rnacentral:lncRNA from 1 species
UCACCAAGGAAAAGCAAGAAAAAGAAAGAACAAAACCCUAGGUGGAAAAAUUCAAGGGAAAAGUGUGAAAAUUCAAAGAAACAAGUGAAAAAAUGUAAGAUUUUUCAAUUUAAGCUUGAGAUCUCUCUUUCUUAAGCAUUUUUUCUUAUUUUUCAUGGUUAAAUCACAUGAAAUCAUGAUGAAUCCUUUGUUGGCCGAACACUUAGAGGGAGGUUUUGUUGUUUGAUUUGGUUAGAUUUCAAUGUAUUUUAGUGUUUUUAGUUAGUUAGUGAUGUGUAGUAUGAAAAGCCAACAAGAAAAAUUCACUUCCUUCUAUCACCUAUCAUUGGCCGAAUUUUCCAUGUAGAGUGUGUAUGGUGGAUUUGAUUUUAUUUCAAGUGAAUUGGUUAGGAAAUGAUGAAUUACGGUGAGAAAAUCAAGUAGGAAAAAUCGUAGUGUUGAUGCACCCACCAUGGCCGAAAUUUCCAAGGGAAAAUGUGAAGAUGAUUUUGCUAAAUUUUAUGCUAUUUGACUUGUGUUUGAUGGUUUGGAGAAUUGGAAGAAAAAUGGAGUUAAUUGGAGUUUAAUUGGACAUAUUGGCCAAUUAAUUGAGUGAUAGAUCGAAUUAGGCCAAUACCGUUUUAUUUAGGUACACAAUUGAAUUUACGUAGAACACCGUGUUUAGACGAUAAUCCGAACAAUUUGCAUUCCAUUUCAUGCAUCCAUAUAGUUUUAUAAUGAUUUAGCACCAAUGUGGUAAAUUGCUUGAUUGUGCAUUAUGUCUAGGUGGUGAAUCCUCCGAUAAGGGUAAAGAUAUUGUACCCAAGGAUCGAUAGUCGGAGUACUCUAAAAAUUCGACUCCCGAAAUAGUGAGUAACUGUAUCAUCAUUUUAAUUAUCUAAAGUGGUCUUUUUAUUUGAUUUUGUGAAUUUUAUGAAAAAUGUGAUUAAAUGAAAUGAUUUUAUAAAAUAGUCUUGAAAUUUAAUGAUGGCUUUGAAAAUAGAGUAAUUGGAGACCAUUUGAUGUAUUGUGAAUUUAUGGUUCUAAUUGAUCGGCUUAUGGUAAUAUUGGCAUGAAUGGUUGAAUUGGAAUUUGUGUUGAAAUUGUAUAAACUGUUGUUUGCCUUGAUAGGCUGGAUAAUGAUAAAAUUGCCAUGUCAUGCUGUUGAAUUUUUAUUGUAUGGUGGGUUUAGCUUGCUGCAGUGGGUGAGUUCUAUGGACCAGCCUAUUAGAGGGGCACGAAAUCCGAUUAUAUAUGUACCUCGAUCAGAGAGGUGUGUAGGGUAUCUCCUGAGGUAUGGUUAGAGUUCACGUCACGUCUAACCACCUCGUGAUGAUGAACUUUGCUAACGUUAAGGAACGGCUGUGUUUUUCAAACUAAAAAUAUGUUUACGUGUAUACGAAAUUUUUAACAGCCUUGGCGUACUCGGUUAGAUGCCUCGACCAAGGUAUUCCCGAGAAUGAUUUUGGCAGGAGCCAAACUUUUAAGAUACUCAUAAGCCAUGUUGAUUAUUUAAAUGAAAUGAAUAUUUAUGUUAUGAAAUACAUAUUGAGAUGGAAUAUUUUAAUCGUCUCCAUUUACUCGACUUUAGAUAUUUUGGAUGAUGUUUGUUUACUCACUGGGAUUAUAUAAUUUCACCACCCUCUUUUUCACCCAUUUCAGGCUCAGGAUAGUUUGUAGAUAGCUGAUAUCAUCGAAGGCUACAGUUGGCUUUACUUCUUCAAAAAUCGUAGGUUCACAGCCUUCGUUCACUUUUGUCAUUUGGGCGCUCACGUGUCAUUGUAAAUUAAAUUAUAUAUCUUGACUAUCUG